rnacentral:misc_RNA from 1 species
GAUGAAGAACGUAGUGAAAUGCGAUACGUAAUGUGAAUUGCAGAAUUCAGUGAAUCAUCGAGUCUUUGAACGCACAUUGCGCCCUCUGGUAUUCCGGAGGGCAUGCCUGUCCGAGCGUCAUUGCUGCCCUCCAGCCCGGCUGGUGUGUUGGGCCCCGUCCCCCUUCCCGGGGGGACGGGCCCGAAAGGCAGCGGCGGCACCGCGUCCGGUCCUCGAGCGUAUGGGGCUUUGUCACCCGCUCUUGUAGGCCCGGCCGGCGCCAGCCGACCCCCUCAAUCUAUUUUUCAGGUUGACCUCGGAUCAGGUAGGGAUACCCGCUGAACUUAAGCAUAUCAAUAAGCGGAGGA